CCUACGGGCGGCAGCAGUGGGGGAUAUUGCACAAUGGGGGAAACCCUGAUCCAGCAACGCCGCGUGUAGGAAGAAGGCUCUCGGAUUGUAAACCUCCGUUCUGGGGGAAGUUAAUGACGGCAAGCAAGGAGAAAGCUGUAGCUAACUCCGUGACAGCAGCCGCGGUAAUACGUAGGGAGCAAGCGUUGUCCGGAUUUACUGGGUGUAAAGGGUGCGUAGGCGGUCUUGCAAGUCAGACGUGAAAACCACAGGCUCAACCUGUGGACUGCGUUUGAAACUGUGGGGCUUGAGUGAAGUAGAGGUUGGCGGAAUUCCCGGUGUAGCGGUGAAAUGCGUAGAGAUCGGGAGGAACACCAGUGGCGAAGGC
rnacentral:rRNA from 1 species